CUCUAUAGCCAUACCACAACGUUACCAGCUCUUAAAAAAUUUAAGACCUAAGAGUAAAAUCACAGAGUUGUAAACGAUUAUAGAGAGGAAGCCUAAUGUUGGAAGCAGUGAGAGAAAGGACUGAGUUACUGGAAGUACAAAGUCUACAGCAGAACUGUAGACUAACUGCAAACACAGAAAUAAAAUGUGCGAUGAGGUCAGCAGUGAGUGAUUAAGCCAACAGUGAGAGUAAUAAAAUGAAAUUUUAUAAUUCUGAUGCGUUUAGCAUUGUUUACACUGGAAGCAUUCCAGUAUGUCCAGGAUACAUACCUUCACGCUCUCCCAGUCUUCUAGCUGUUUAUUGAAGAGGUGCCGAAUGUUAUCAGCAGAACUGCUGAGCUUCUGCUCGUGUUCUUUUAAAAGACUAUCAACCGCCAACCAAGAGACAUAAGGGAGUUCCUCUUCAAACAACUUCAACUGAUCCUGAAAUUCUUUUUGGAAAAGAUACUUUUAAUAACGCUUCGGUAUACUUAUGGCUAUUUGGAAAACCUGUUGAAAGUUUCUUCUGAAGUUCACCUUCCUGCUUGGACAGUCUGAAUUGAUGGACAUCCCAGAGACUACUGGCCUGUUGAAAAUAGCUGUACAGGUCUCUACAGUUCUGCUCAUUCUGUUUAGCCAGCUCCUCAAAGUCUCUCUAAAAAAAAAAAAAAAAAAAGAAAGAAAAAAGAAAAAGACCACAGACUUAAGUGAACUGGUUACUAU